rnacentral:lncRNA from 1 species
UUCGUGCUGAUAACGUGUUAUAAAAGAUUACUAAAAUUAAAAAAAAGAUGAUUAGAGGAAAGAGAGCAUUCUCAUUGUAUUUUCAUGUCCCCUCCAUCCUCUUGACAAUAUUUCUAUUUAUAAGCACAUGUACAUAAAUACUGGGAAGUUUCAAAACUCAUAGAUCAUAGGAGUUUCAAAGCUUAAAGGAUAUGAGAGUUUCAAAGCUCAAAGGUCAUUAC